rnacentral:rRNA from 1 species
UACGUAGGUGGCAAGCGUUGUCCGGAUUUACUGGGCGUAAAGGGCGCGUAGGCGGCCACCGCAAGUCGACUGUGAAAUCUCCGGGCUUAACCCGGAAAGGUCAGCCGAUACUGCGGGGCUAGAGUGCAGAAGGGGCAACUGGAAUUCUCGGUGUAGCGGUGAAAUGCGUAGAUAUCGAGAGGAACACCUGCGGCGAAGGCGGGUUGCUGGGCUGACACUGACGCUGAUGCGCGAAAGCUAGGGGAGCGAACGGG